rnacentral:rRNA from 1 species
UACAGAGGUGCCAAGCGUUAGGCGGAAUCACUGGGCUUAAAGCGCGUGUAGGUGGGUCGUUAAGUGUCCGCGUGAAAUCCCACGGCUCAACCGUGGAACUGCCGGGCAUACUGGCGAUCUUGAGGCAUUCAGGGGCGAGCGGAACAAAUGGUGGAGCGGUGAAAUGCGUAGAUAUCAUUUGGAACGCCAAUGGUGAAAACAGCUCGCUGGGGGUUUGCUGACGCUGAGACACGAAAGCCAGGGGAGCAAACGGG